UACAGAGGUCCCAAGCGUUGUUCGGAUUCACCGGGCGUAAAGGGUGCGUAGGCGGUCGGGUAAGUCUGAUGUGAAAUCUCCAAGCUCAACUUGGAAAUGGCAUCGGAUACUAUUCGGCUCGAGGAAUGGAGGGGAGACUGGAAUACUUGGUGUAGCAGUGAAAUGCGUAGAUAUCAAGUGGAACACCAGUGGCGAAGGCGAGUCUCUGGACAUUUCCUGACGCUGAGGCACGAAAGCCAGGGGAGCAAACGGG
rnacentral:rRNA from 1 species